GGACAAUUCAAUCUGUAUAUGGGAAAUAAACUGGAGGGGAAGACGAAUGGCAGGAGGGUGAAGAGGAAGCUGAAUUACUGUGCAAACACCCGCCACUCAAAUCCGGGUGGUUACUGCGGAGUGAAUAACGAUAGGUACUAUUUCGUGUAAGUCAAAGUCCUUUGAAAGGGCUCCUAGAGCGUCAAGGCCUCCACCUGAUGAAUGAAUGAGUCAGGCAGGCCCAGCUCCACUUCACGGAUGGGAAAACUGAGGUACGAGGCCUCGCUGAAAGAUGCGAGGCAGAGCGGAGAACCAGAAGCACCACUUCUCUCAGGCUGAUGCUCUAAUCUCGGCUCCCCCGCCCCGACGAUGGCGUAGACGGCCUCCGCCGGCCGACUCACACACACCCUCCCCCGGGAACGGCAAGUCUCCUCGGGUUCCAAGGACGGGGUCAAAAGACAAGAGGCCCGAGGCGCUCCCGCCGUGAUUUGCAGCCAGAGAGCGUUGGGAGCGUGCGUGCCUCCAGCCCAACAUGGCGGCGGCAGCGGCCGCCCCCGACCCCAAGCCCUCCCUCAGGGCCCGAGGCUUCUCCUCAGGGCCUUCCGGUGGGCGGGAAGACAGCGCAACCCCGCCAGGCCUUUCUCGUCGCUGCGCCUGCUCGCUGAAGGAGUCACCUACCCGACGAGACUAACGGCCGCGGCGCGGAAGCCCCACAGCCCGCCGAGAACCAGGAAUACGAGAGCCAGGCGGCGCGGCGGCGGGAGCUGUACUGAGCAAGAAAGAAGAUUUCAAAGUAAUUUAUUGUUAUGAGAUCCGUGCUUUUAUCUUGUCUCAGACUCCCAAUGAUAGGCACAUACUCUCCUCUGUACAUUUAAU
rnacentral:lncRNA from 1 species